rnacentral:rRNA from 1 species
GAUGAACGCUGGCGGCGUGCCUAAUACAUGCAAGUCGAGCGAACAGACGAGGAGCUUGCUCCUCUGACGUUAGCGGCAGACGGGUGAGUAACACGUGGAUAACCUACCUAUAAGACUGGGAUAACUUCGGGAAACCGGAGCUAAUACCGGAUAAUAUAUUGAACCGCAUGGUUCAAUAGUGAAAGACGGUUUUGCUGUCACUUAUAGAUGGAUCCGCGCCGCAUUAGCUAGUUGGUAAGGUAACGGCUUACCAAGGCAACGAUGCGUAGCCGACCUGAGAGGGUGCUCGGCCCACCUGGAACUGGGACGCGGCCCAGCCCCCUACGGGAGGCCGCAGGAGGGAAUCUUCCGCAAUGGGCGAAACCCUGACGGAGCAACGCCGCGUGAGUGAUGAAGGUCUUCGGAUCGUAAAACUCUUUUUUUAGGGAAAAACAAAUGUGUAAUUAACUAUGCAGGUCUUGACGGUACCUAAACAGAAAACCCCGCCUAACUACGU